GGGGGCGGCCCGGCCCGGCCCAGCUCUGCCCCCGGCCGGCCCGACCCCGGCCCCGGCCCCCGGACCAGCCCUUAUCUGAUCCCAGCUCCGGGUUUAAGAGUCCCGGCUCUGCCCGUCGCUCAGCUCGGUUCCUCGCUCGUGCCCGCCCCGUCGGUCUGUCUGGCCGGCCGUCCCACUGCGCAUCCGAGGGGCCGCUCCACCCCGGACCCAAGGCGUUGAAACUGGAUAAAGCCUCGUGGGGUCGUGACAUGAGAAGAGUGGCGGUCGCAGUGUCGCAAGGAUUUGAGGCGGGAAAGAUCGGGCAGCAGCUGCAUGGAGGCUGGUGCGGUGAUUCAGCCAAAAGGAGGAAAGGACCCGACGUCAGGCCAGGAGACUAAGGGAAGAGGCACAGCUCCCGGCAUCAGAUGGAUGUUGACACGAGGAAGGAGAGUCUGGUGGCCCCGGGAGUAGAAUGUGAUGAGCCUCUUUGUUCUACAAGGACCAACCACCCGCCCCCUGCCCCCCGAGAUCACCCUCCUUCUUCCCAGAAGGUUUGGCCACCAGAUCCAGAGUCCAAGGGCUCCAGUGACUGAAAUCCUUUCUCUGCUGGAAAAGUACAAGUUACUCCUUGGGCAGGAGUGAUGGCACCUUGUAGGAAGCGAGCUGUCUCCUAUUUCAGAGACUCGUCCCUCUUUCUUCUAUCAGGACAAACAGCAAUCCUGAAUUUGAGCAAGUG